rnacentral:sRNA from 1 species
CCCAGCGCUAGCGCGCUGGGCUAACCUCGCGACGCGCCUCCGGCGCU